CAACUCCUUAGUCUAUCCCGAUUAAGGUCAUCGCUCUGUAAUAAUCCAAGCCGUAAUCAAACACCUUCAUAAUUCGAAGCGAAAAUAAUGGCUCUUCAAGAAGCAUGGGAAAUGUUCACAGAAAAUGAAAUCAAUAAUCAAGAAUUAAAAAAUAGGCAACAAAAAUUUGAAAUUCACAGAGCCUGUCGACGUACGAUAGUACAUCCGAUAGCUAUUUACAUAGUUUAGUACGUAUAUAUCGAUAAAUGUAUGGAUUAGCUCUCGACCGAUGAACGGUCACAUUGGGCUGAUGUGAUUUGCCGCUAUGAUUUAAGUUCCGCAUUGAUUGUCGCUUAGUGAAUUAAGGAGGACAUACUGCGAAUAAAACGGCUUUACAACGGCAGUCAGCCUGCGUUACCUUUCUACUUGCUGCUCGAGCAGAGGUACGCAGCUUGUUAAUACUAAAAUUGGUGAUAAACUGUUAGCCCAACGGCAAUGAAAACGACAAUCAUGAGGCGCGCUGAAGGGUUAUGCGUCUUUAAAGGGUCAGGCUUCCAAUAAAUUCAUAAAAUCACUCUGGACACAGCCUACGGGAAACUUAAAGAAAAAGUGUGAAACACACUAUUGAACACCGCAAGUACAUCAUGGAAGAAGAAGAAAUGCAGUUACCCAGGAUUAAUAUUACGAAAUUAGAAAAACAAUUAUAAUAAAGGUGACAAUUCUUCGGUUUUCAUAUGCCCAACAA